rnacentral:rRNA from 1 species
GACGAACGCUGGCGGCGUGCCUAAUACAUGCAAGUAGAACGCUGAAGGAUGAGCUUGCUCUUCUGGAUGAGUUGCGAACGGGUGAUUAACGCGUAGGUAACCUGCCUGGUAGCGGGGGAUAACUAUUGGAAACGAUAGCUAAUACCGCAUAAGAGUAGAUGUUGCAUGACAUUUACUUAAAAGGUGCAUUUGCAUCACUACCAGAUGGACCUGCGUUGUAUUAGCUAGUUGGUGGGGUAACGGCUUACCAAGGCGACGAUACAUAGCCGACCUGAGAGGGUGAUCGGCCACACUGGGACUGAGACACGGCCCAGACUCCUACGGGAGGCAGCAGUAGGGAAUCUUCGGCAAUGGACGGAAGUCUGAACGAGCAACGCCGCGUGAGAGAAGAAGGGUUUCGGAUCGUAAAGCUCUGUUGUAAGAGAAGAACGAGUGUGAGGGUAGAAAGUGCACAAUGUGACGGUAUCGUACCAGAAAGGGACGGCUAACUACGUG